rnacentral:rRNA from 1 species
GAGUUUGAUCGUGGCUCAGGACGAACGCUGGCGGCGUGCCUAAUACAUGCAAGUCGAGCGAGUCUGCCUUGAAGAUCGGAGUGCUUGCACUCUGUGAAACAAGAUACAGGCUAGCGGCGGACGGGGUGAGUAACACGUGGGUAACCUGCCCAAGAGAUCGGGAUAACACCUGGAAACAGAUGCUAAUACCGGAUAACAACAGAUGAUGCCUAUCAACUGUUUAAAAGAUGGUUCUGCUAUCACUCUUGGAUGGACCUGCGGUGCAUUAGCUAGUUGGUAGGGUAACGGCCUACCAAGGCGAUGAUGCAUAGCCGAGUUGAGAGACUGAUCGGCCACAUUGGGACUGAGACACGGCCCAAAACUCCUACGGGAGGCAGCAGUAGGGAAUCUUCCACAAUGGACGCAAGUCUGAUGGAGCAACGCCGCGUGAGUGAAGAAGGGUUUCGGCUCGUAAAGCUCUGUUGUUGGUG